rnacentral:rRNA from 1 species
UACGGAGGAUACAAGCGUUAUCCGGAAUGAUUGGGCGUAAAGCGUCCGCAGGUGGCGAUGUAAGUCUGCUGUUAAAGAGUCUAGCUCAACUAGAUAAGAGCAGUGGAAACUACAUAGCUGGAGUACGUUCGGGGCAGAGGGAAUUCCUGGUGUAGCGGUGAAAUGCGUAGAGAUCAGGAAGAACACCAGUGGCGAAGGCGCUCUGCUAGGCCGUAACUGACACUGAGGGACGAAAGCUAGGGGAGCGAAUGGG